UGGGCCUACGGGAGGCAGCAGUAGGGAAUAUUGCUAAAUGGGGGAAACCCUGAAGCAGCAACGCCGCGUGGAGGAUGAAGGUUUUCGGAUUGUAAACUCCUUUUGUUAGAGAAGAUAAUGACGGUAUCUAACGAAUAAGCACCGGCUAACUCCGUGCCAGCAGCCGCGCUAAUACGGAGGGUGCAAGAGUUACUCGGAAUCACUGGGCGUAAAGAGCUCGUAGGCGGGAUAGCAAGUCAGAUGUGAAAUCAUAUGGCUUAACCAUAGAACUGCAUUU
rnacentral:rRNA from 1 species